rnacentral:lncRNA from 1 species
AUUCUCACUGCAAACAGGAAAAGGAAAGAGAAAAAGCAAGCUCUGUCUCCACACAAGGUUUGCUGGGCUGGCUAUGAACUGUUCCAAGAUCCCUUCAUUCUUCAGCAAUGGAUCAAAGAACUCUGAAAACAAGAACAACCCCGACAGCUGCAAACCACGAGCCCUCACCUCCAGCAGAGGUUUUCGGGAAACUCUGGACGACCACGCGCAUGCAGAGGUAAGGGAAUGAUCCGGUCCUACCUGGCGUUGACUUCCAGGUUCACUCAAAGGCCACGUGCCACCCUUUGCACAUCGUGUUUGGGUUGCAAAGGGGAAAGAUGCAUAUUGAAAGCCAGAAGUGUGCCCAGGCCAACAGACGUCUGAAAGCCACAGGGGACGACCCUGAAAAAGUCUGGCAGAUGCAGAACCACAGCUGAUCACUUUGGUCCGUUUGAGGGCCCCUUUCGCUCAGCUCUUUUGGGGGUUCCAGGGCUCUCAGAGCUUCCAGGUCCUGUAAGAAGAGAUGGAGUCAUAGCUGCGCCCUGUCCACUCUCGGGCUGUCACACAAGCCUGGAGCCCAGCCAUUUCUCGGCCUUGUCUUCAUCUUGGGCUAACCGGUCGUCUCCUGCAAACAGACAGCACGGAGAAGGAUGAGUGAACUCGGCCUCUCCCCACAGAAUACAGUUCGCCAUUACAGCGCUGAUUAAAUACAGGACAUUAUCUCACCAUAAUGCCCUCCUGGCGGCGUUCCCAGGAAAAUUCUAACUAAUCAUAAAAAUAGAAAGAAAAACGCAACCUA